CUGCAGAAUUUUGCACUGGUCAUAAAUGUGAGGAUUGGUUACAAAAAACAAUUUUUUUUUACACCAUUGUAACUUUGAAUGGCAAUUGGUGCUUGAUCUCGAGAUCCAUCAGUUCCCGUUGAGAAGGUUGACCUGACCAUGGACAUUGGAUGAAUCUGGUCAGCGGGGGCGAGGUAAAUUCCAAGAAAGACAAUGAUGAAUAAUUUCUAAAAAUGGCUGCAAACCACCACAAUUGAAAAGUAUCACUGGUUGAAAGACAAAACACAAGAUUUCAACUGGGAUGGCCAAUGUGAACUUGGCACCAUGGGGAACCCUAGAAUUUUCCAGGCUGUGACCUCUUUCCAAAUUUUCUUCAAAGAAAAGUUGCAUUCAGGUUCUGGCAAUUUGUUGAUAAAGUAUAUUUCAUUCUCAAGAAUCCCAUGACACGAGGCCACCUAUAGGCAGUGUACAAUGUCCUUCAUUUGUUUAGCUUUCAUAAACUUUUUUUCCUGUCUAGCAGAAUAAAUGAUGAAUAGCACGAA